rnacentral:lncRNA from 1 species
CAGGGCCAACCCAAGGCAGCUCAGGUGCAAGCAAUGUACCUGAGAGAUUGGAGAGGUGGAGCUGGGAUCCACCCCUUCCCAGACCUCAUUUAAGGGUUGGCAGCGGAGGUGAGAGUAUCUUGCUAGAGAUCCCUGCAUACUUGAGGCCCUUCUAAGGUAAGCAGCUUUUUUUCCUUUGUUUUUGUGACUAUGGCUGCUAUGUUUGGGCUUGUCCUCAUUUGUUGCAGGCAAAGGCUUUGCCACGCUGCCUUUAUUGCUGUACUUUCCAUUACAUUACAGCGCUACAAUGUGAUGCUUUGGAAAGGGUAUUAAUUUGUUGAGGUGACAGUGUUUUCUAUACCUUACUGAAGCUUCUUUCAGGUUUUUUUUUUUUCCCUCUUUCUUGGCCUACAGAAUGGUAGGACUUCACAAACUUCUUAAAUCCUUGGUUUUCCAGCCUUUGAAUGCAGAUUUCAUAAUUCGGAUGUAAAAAAUCUUGUCUUUGGCAGAUACUGUUCUUAAGCUUUGAUGGUUCUGUCCUGUCCAGAUGGACAAGAGUCAAAGGUGCUCAUCCCAUCUCAAUGGAUGUUUUUCCAAGGCUGUUUUGUGUUUCAACCAACUGGCAUAUCUGCUGGGAAGAUCUAAACUGCUUAAAUGCAAUAAUGAAAAAAGCCAUCUGCAUUCCCAGAGAUGGACAGUGAAGAAGAAAUACAGAUGAGUGGAUCCAGUCAGCUUUGAACACUAUAAUUAUCCUGGCCAACUGGACAUGAAAAAUGAUCUUCAUUCUUACAGAAAUCUGAAGCACAGUCUACUAGUCUGGAUAAGAACUCUGCUUAAAACCUGACACAGUGAACAAUUUGCUGAGCAGCAACAAGACGACCUUGUCAUCUUCAAUAAUUAGCACAUCAGAUCAGAAACUGAAAAUAAAUAUUUGGUUCCUGC